GAGCCGUGUGUUGAGCACAAAGCAAACUAUUCUUUUGCAUUUUGCUAAAGAAUACUGUUUGCUCUCCACUCAAAGUUGGCCCCAUCCUAAUCCAAGUUACAAUGAUCUUGUAUAAUA